UAAACCUAAGGAUAUAGAGCCGACAACUUCACCAUUGAAAACGUUUGUGUCUAAAAAGAAGUCUGCAUCUCCAAAUAAGAAGGAUGUGUCCCAAAAGAAGAGGACUUUGUCGCCAAAGAAUAAGGCUGGAUCCCCAAAGAAGAGGACUGUGUCGCCAACGAAGAAGGCUGCAUUCCAAAAGAAGAACGGCGCAUCCUGUUCUAGUGCUCGAUCUGUGAAGGAUGUGUCAAGCAGUAAAUCUGGAAACAAUUUUAAGUCCACUAAGAGAGCACAGAGAGCAGCAGCUUGUAAUGUGGAAGAUAUCAACGUAACAGGUGGUUUAAGGCUGCUAAAGCGACGAAUGGUGACAAUGAGUCACAUUACAAGGCGGCUGAUCAGAGGGAAGCGGCUAACUGUGGAGAUUAAUGAUAAAGGGGAACCAAUUGGUAAGGCUGCAAAAGCAAUGCAAUCUUACAUUGGGGUCUUAGCACGUACAAAGAUCCCCAUUAUCAUUGGUGAUUGGAGAGAAGUGGACCCGGAUGAAAAAUAGAAAAUAUGGGAAUCGAUUGAGGAGGCAUUUGUGAUUCCUAAAGAAUGUAGGAAAUUGGUGAUAUCAUCCGCUGCAAACAAAUGGCGGGAUUUCAAAAGUAAACUGACUAAAAAGUACAUUAUACCUUUUAUCGAUACACCUGAGCUGUUGGAAAAUCCUCCAGAUGACUAUCGAUGCAUUAACAAGGAACAUUGGGAACAAUUUGUUGCUGAAAGGAUUUCUGAUGCAUUUCAGGAGCUGCGUGAAGCCCAAAUAGAAAAAAGAAAGGAAAA